rnacentral:rRNA from 1 species
UACGUAGGGUGCGAGCGUAAUCGGAAUUACUGGGCGUAAAGCGUGCGCAGGCGGUUCGCUGUGUCCUGUGUGAAAGCCCCGGGCUUAACCUGGGAAUGGCAUGGGAAACUGGCGGGCUGGAGUGUGGCAGAGGGGGGUGGAAUUCCGCGUGUAGCGGUGAAAUGCGUAGAUAUCAGGAGGACACCGGCGGUGUAGACGGCUUUCUGGACCGUAGCUGACGCUGAGACACGAAAGCGUGGGUAGCAAACAGG